rnacentral:tRNA from 1 species
UAGAAGGUAGUAUAAUGGAGUUCUGGAGAUUUUGAGUCUUUAGGUGCAGGUUCAAGUCCUGUUCUUCUAG